GUCCACGCAGUAAACGAUGCAGACUAGGCGUGGGUGGACUUGACCCCAUCCGUGCCGGAGCUAACGCGGGAAGUCUGCCGCCUGGGGAGUACGGCCGCAAGGCUAAAACUCAAAGGAAUUGACGGGGGCCCGCACAAGCGGCGGAGCGUGCGGUUUAAUUCGACGCAACGCGCAGAACCUUACCAGGGCUUGACAUGCUUCUGCGAGACCGGGAAACCGGGGAGCCUUCGAGGGAGAAGCACAGGUGCUGCAUGGCUGUCGU
rnacentral:rRNA from 1 species